CCCGCCUGCUGCCACCAGGUGUCACGGAGUAUGGGGGAGUCCGGUCCGGCACCCCUCUUCCUGGGACCCACAGUGACGCUCAGCCAGCCAGUAAAACAGAAGGUUUAUUGGACAACAGGAACGCA